CAAUAAAUAACAAUGCCGGGCCUUUAAUAGGUCUGGCAUUGGAAUGAGAACAAUUUAAACCCCUUAUCGAGUAUCAAUUGGAGGGCAAGUCUGGUGCCAGCAGCCGCGGUAAUUCCAGCUCCAAUAGCGUAUAUUAAAGUUGUUGCAGUUAAAAAGCUCGUAGUUGGAUUUGUGGCUGUCGCGUGCGGCCUAGCACCUAGUGCUAGUGUUUGCUUGCGGCGCCAUCCUUGGGUGGAACCUGUGUGGCAUUAGGUUGUCGUGCAGGGGAUGCCCAUCGUUUACUGUGAAAAAAUUAGAGUGUUCAAAGCAGGCUUAUGCCGUUGAAUAUAUUAGCAUGGAAUAAUAGGAUAGGACCUUGGUACUAUUUUGUUGGUUUGCGCACCAAGGUAAUGAUUAAUAGGGACAGUUGGGGGUAUUCGUAUUCCAUUGUCAGAGGUGAAAUUCUUGGAUUUUUGGAAGACGAACUACUGCGAAAGCAUUUACCAAGGAUGUUUUCAUUAAUCAAGAACGAAAGUUAGGGGAUCGAAGAUGAUUAGAUACCAUCGUAGUCUUAACCAUAAACUAUGCCGACAAGGGAUUGGCGGAUCACACUAUGUCUUCGUCAGCACCUU
rnacentral:rRNA from 1 species